AGAAGCGCGGUGAGGUAGCAUUUUUGCGCUGGAGGGAUGGAGACGAAAGGUCGCUAAGUGACAGCUUGCAAAUUUUCAAAUAACAUCAGUCUAUUCGUUUUCGUUUUCGCUUUAAGUCGAUAAAAUACUAAUGUUUGCUACAAUAACCCGCAUAAUCAAAAACCAUUGCUGAAGCGUAUCCCCAAAUAGGAUAGUCAGCACUGUUUGUCCACCACACCUUCAACGGUUGAAGUUCCAUCGAAAAACGAAGAGAUAUCUUCCAGUAAACGCUGUAGUCGCAGGUGUUUGUCAAACUAUAAUGAAAGUAUCUCCGAGCAGAACGAUGUUGAAGUCCACAUUGCACGACGACAAAUGCAAAACAGCGCCCCUCGCAGCCUGGAAGAAUACAAAUAUGACCAGUCACAAAAAGAAAAGUGCAAGAUGGCUGGCAAGUGAUGAUAUC